GUACCGGAAGGUGUUCUUGGAAUGAGAUAUAGCUUAAUAAAAGCAUAUUGCUUACACCAAUAUAAUGCCUGUUAAACUCUGGCUGUCUCAAGCUGAAAAUCUAGCCCCCCUAACCCCCACACCUCAAUUAAAAACUAAAAUAUUUUUAUAACAGAGUAAAGACGAUUGAAAAACUAGCAAGAGCAAUAAAAAUGUACCGCAAGGGAUAAUUGAAAUAGAAAUGAAACAAAUCUAAAGCCUUAAAAAGUAGAGCUCAUCUCUCGUACCUUUUGCAUCAUGGUUUAACUAGUUUAAUUAAGCAAAACGACUUAAAGUUUAACUCCCCGAAACUAAGUGAGCUACUUCAGGACAGCCCAAGGGCCAACCCCCCGACGUUGUAAAGUCGCGGGAAGAUCCUGAAGUAGAGGUGAUAUACCUAACGAACUUAACAAGUACUAAAAACAUAAAUUUGUCUUUAGAGUAAUUCAACCAAGGAACAGCUUGUUUGAAUCAGGACACAACCUUAACCCCAGGAUAAUGAACCCCCGAAUACAACUAAGUGGGCCUAAAAGCAGCCAUCUAACAAAAGCGUUAAAGCUUUACUGUUUUCCAAAAAAUACCUUACAUUUUACAGACUCCUUCAAUAGUACUGAGUACAUCUAUAUUUAUAGAAGAUUUUAUGUUAAAACUAGUAACAAGAAGUCAUCCUUCUCCUCAAUGCAAGUAUACCCCAGCAAGGACCUCCCACUGGAAAUUAACACCCCCCCCCUCGCCUGUUUAUCAAAAACAUCGCCUCUUGAGUUAUAUAAGAGGUCCAGCCUGCCCAGUGACUUUUGUUUAACGGCCGCGGUAUCCUAACCGUGCGAAGGUAGCGUAAUCACUUGUUCUUUAAAUAAGGACUAGUAUGAAAGGCAUCACGAGGGCCAAGCUGUCUCCUUUUUCUAAUCCGUGAAACUAAUCUUCCCGUGAAGAAGCGGGAAUGUUUUUAUAAGACGAGAAGACCCUAUGGAGCUUUAAAUGAACACCACCUACAUUUUAUUUUUCAAUUCCAGAAAAUCAACAAAUACAAUGACCCCCCUGGCUGUAAAUUUUAGGUUGGGGCGACCGCGGAGAAAAACCUAUCCUCCUCAUUGUUAAAGAAUUUAUCCUAAACAAAAGCAACAACUUUAUGUAUCAAUAAAAUUGACAUCUAUUGACCCAUUAUUUGAUCAACGAACCAAGUUACCCUAGGGAUAACAGCGCCAUCCACUUUAAGAGCUCAUAUCGACAAGUGGGCUUACGACCUCGAUGUUGGAUCAGGGUAUCCAAGUGGUGCAGCCGCUACUUAAGGUUCGUUUGUUCAACGAUUAAAACCCUACGUGAUCUGAGUUCAGACCGGA
rnacentral:rRNA from 1 species